rnacentral:rRNA from 1 species
GACGAACGCUGGCGGCGUGCUUAACACAUGCAAGUCGAACGGAAAGGCCCUGCUUGCAGGGUACUCGAGUGGCGAACGGGUGAGUAACACGUGGGUGAUCUGCCCUGCACUUCGGGAUAAGCCUGGGAAACUGGGUCUAAUACCGGAUAGGAGCCAUUUUUAGUGUGAUGGUUGGAAAGUUUUUUCGGUGUAGGAUUAGCUCGCGGCCUAUCAGCUUGUUGGUGGGGUAAUGGCCUACCAAGGCGGCGACGGGUAGCCGGCCUGAGAGGGUGGACGGCCACAUUGGGACUGAGAUACGGCCCAGACUCCUACGGGAGGCAGCAGUGGGGAAUAUUGCACAAUGGGCGCAAGCCUGAUGCAGCGACGCCGCGUGGGGGAUGACGGCCUUCGGGUUGUAAACUCCUUUCGCUAGGGACGAAGCUUUUUGUGACGGUACCUAGAGAAGAAGCACCGGCUAACUACGUG